GACGAACGCUGGCGGCGUGCCUAACACAUGCAAGUCGAGCGGAGUCGAUCGACGGAAGCCUUCGGGCGGAAGAUGGUUGACUUAGCGGCGGACGGGUGAGUAACGCGUGGGCAACCUGCCUUCCACUGGGGGAUAACACAGGGAAACCUGUGCUAAUACCGCAUGACAUCACAUAGGGCAUCCUGUGUGAUCAAAGGAGUGAUCCGGUGGAAGAUGGGCCCGCGUCCGAUUAGCUAGUUGGUGAGGUAACGGCUCACCAAGGCGACGAUCGGUAGCCGGACUGAGAGGAAGGUCCCCCACAUUGGAACUGAGAUACGGUCCAAACUCCUACGGGAGGCAGCAGUGAGGAAUAUUGGUCAAUGGACAGAAGUCUGAACCAGCCAAGUCGCGUGAAGGAAGAAGGUCUUACGGAUUGUAAACUUCUUUAGCAGGGGAAUAAAAGACGAUACGAGUUAUCGUGUUGAAAGUACUUUGCGAAAAAGGAUCGGCUAACUCCGUGCCAGCAGCCG
rnacentral:rRNA from 1 species